GUUCAAACAUCGCUUCCCGUACGAUCACCGAAGUUAAGCAACGCCGAGCCUACUCAUUACCAGGAUAGGUGACCGUUUAGGAAUACAAGGUGUUGUAAU